CUUAGCUCAGUUGGUAGAGCAAUUGACUCUUAAUCAAUGGGUCCAGGGUUCGAGUCCCUG
rnacentral:tRNA from 1 species